rnacentral:rRNA from 1 species
ACGGAAGGCAGCAGUGGGGAAUAUUGGGCAAUGGGCGAAAGCCUGACCCAGCAACGCCGCGUGAAGGAAGAAGGUCUUCGGAUUGUAAACUUCUUUUAUGAGGGACGAAGGAAGUGACGGUACCUCAUGAAUAAGCCACGGCUAACUACGUGCCAGCAGCCGCGGUAAUACGUAGGUGGCAAGCGUUAUCCGGAUUUACUGGGUGUAAAGGGCGCGUAGGCGGGGAUGCAAGUCAGGUGUGAAAUCUAUGGACUUAACUCAUAAACUGCACUUGAAACUGUAUCUCUUGAGUGCUGGAGAGGUAGACGGAAUUCCUUGUGUAGCGGUGAAAUGCGUAGAUAUAAGGAAGAACACCAGUGGCGAAGGCGGUCUACUGGACAGUAACUGACGCUGAGGCGCGAAAGCGUGGGGAGCAAACAGGAUUAGAUACCCUGGUA